rnacentral:tRNA from 1 species
AAGGAUUUAAGUUAAAAAAACUAUUAACCUUCAAAGUUAACAAUAAUAUAAAUAAAUUAAGCCUUA